rnacentral:rRNA from 1 species
UACAGAGGUGGCAAGCGUUGUUCGGAAUCACUGGGCGUAAAGGGAGCGUAGGCGGGAGCCUAAGUUGGGUGUUUAAUUCCGGGGCCCAACCCCGGGCGUGCACUCAAAACUGGGUUUCUUGAAUAGGGGAGAGGUCGGUGGAAUUGGAGGUGUAGCGGUGGAAUGCGUAGAGAUCUCCAAGAACACCCGUUGCGAAGGCGGCCGACUGGACCCAUAUUGACGCUGAGGCUCGAAAGCAUGGGGAGCAAACAGG